UACGUAGGGUGCAGGCGUUAAUCGGAAUUACUGGGCGUAAAGCGUGCGCAGGCGGUUUGCUAAGACAGGUGUGAAAUCCCCGGGCUUAACCUGGGAACUGCGCUUGUAACUGGCAAGCUUGAGUGUGGCAGAGGGGGGGUGGAAUUCCACGGUGUAGCAGUGAAAUGCGUAGAGAUGUGGAGGAACACCGAUGGCGAAGGGCAGCCCCCUGGGCUAACCACGUGACGCCUCGAUGCACGAAAGCGUGGGGAGCAAACAAGGAU
rnacentral:rRNA from 1 species